rnacentral:lncRNA from 1 species
UUUUUUUUUCCAAAUUACUAUUUUUUAAAUAAGAUAUCAUACUGGCUAUGAUAUGAAUCAUAACUAAAGAAUGUAGUUUGCAUAUAUUUGGCCUGAGUUCUACGUAGUCUUGCAUGCCCUUGUAUUUAGAGACUAUUAACUUCUUUAACACAAUGAAGUUAGUUCUUGUAGUCCCCUUCAGAAUUUGGCACAAACUAUGUUACACAAUUUAGUGAAGGUGACUUUUGCUAGCAUAUAAAAAUUUCUAAUUGGAUAUUAUCAGAGUAAGCACAAUUUUUAUCAGAUCACUUAUGUUUCAAAUGCGUUUAAUUAUAACACUGAAAGAACAUUAAGAAUGCAUUAGUUUUACUGUUUAACUUUGAUAUUUUCAGUUUAGGUGAUGACUCGCAUGUUUCACUUCUGAGUAAUCACUUUCUAAUUGGAACCUCAGAUUCUCAUAUUCUAUCUGAAGUGAUUGAGCACCGAGUGCGGCAUGCAAGGCCGGGGUUUUUUAAAGAACCUAUUCUUUCAAAUCUCUUGAUUUUUCUUUUAAAUUCUAUUGAGAUUCUAGUUUUUAUUUUAAAGGGAUGAAAUACCACAUAUGCUACAAGAGCCAAUUCUGACAAGGCAGCAUUGAGAUACUUUUUUUGAAAUUGGAAAUUGUAGUCAAUUCCCAAACAGUGCAGUAUUUCCAAAAUACCUGACCUACUGAGUUUCCAUUUUUAUUUAUCAUCGGAGUUGCCUAGACAUGGUAGGCGCCUUUAUUGAACUAGCCAUGUCUCUUUAAAACACUGGUUUAGAAUAAACCCAGACUAGUAGUAUCCCAUAGAUGCUUUAAAGUCAGGCGCUGAAUAACUAUAAAACAGUAGUUCCAACAACUUGCAGUUGAGGAAAUCUCUGUAAGUAAUUCAGUAGGCAGCAGCCCAGAAUACAUAACGGAUUCUUUGAAGAGUUAAAAUGCAUCCUUGAGCAUGCACUGGAACGUGGCUAUUAAAAACGUUACAGUGCUGGAAUGUCUUUCUGAAAUUCUGUGCAUUAGCAUGGCAGUGUAAUUGACAAGAGCAAACUACUCUGAUAAAACAUAAUUCAGAUGGAUUAUUUGAGAUCUCAUGUUUUCUAAUGGAACAAUUCUUUUUUCCUCAUUAAAACAAAACUUCUGGGUUUUCUUGCAUGUGAAA